rnacentral:rRNA from 1 species
CGGACGGGUGAGUAACGCGUGGGUAACCUGCCCCAUACAGGGGAGUAACACUUAGAAAUAGGUGCUAAUACCGCAUAAGCGCACAGAGCUGCAUGGCUCAGUGUGAAAAACUCCGGUGGUGCAAGAUGGACCCGCGUCUGAUUAGCUGGUUGGCGGGGUAACGGCCCACCAAGGCGACGGUCAGUAGCCGGCCUGAGAGGGUGAACGGCCACAUUGGGACUGAGACACGGCCCAAACUCCUACGGAAGGCAGCAG